GGACAUAGCUCAGUGGUAGAGCAGCUGCUUUGCAUGCAGAAGGUCCCAGGUAAUUGUUGGAAUUCCUGCUCCA